rnacentral:rRNA from 1 species
UACGUAGGGUGCGAGCGUUAAUCGGAAUUACUGGGCGUAAAGCGUGCGCAGGCGGUUUUUGUAAGACAGGCGUGAAAUCCCCGGGCUCAACCUGGGAAUGGCGCUUGUGACUGCAAAGCUGGAGUGCGGCAGAGGGGGAUGGAAUUCCGCGUGUAGCAGUGAAAUGCGUAGAUAUGCGGAGGAACACCGAUGGCGAAGGCAAUCCCCUGGGCCUGCACUGACGCUCAUGCACGAAAGCGUGGGGAGCAAACAGG